ACAAGUGUGAACACCUGCUGAAUUUAAGCAUAUAAGUAGGCAGAGGAUGAGAUACACAACUGGAUUGGCACAGUAGUUGCGAAUGAACAGCAAAUUGCUCAAAUUGAAUUUGGGGACACCUGGCCCUCAACAUGAAAUCUCUGAAUGCUCCACCAACAAAGGCUCAGGAACAAAACCAUUCUGGAGGGGAUUGUGAAAGUGCCAACAGGGGUGAGAAUCCUGUGGUUCUUGCAGACCUUGUUCACGGUGUCUGCUUUCCAGAGUCAUGCUCCUUGGAACUGGAGUGCAAAGUGGGUGGUAGCUUCCACACAAAGGCAAACACACCACUGAGACUGACAGUGAAGAAGUACCGUGAGGGAAGUAUGAAAAGGACUUUGGAAAGAGAUUUAAAAGAGCCUGCACUUGCUGGACAACAAGCAUACAGAAUGAUCGUGUGAUUGGACAGAUUGCUGUGUGAAUACA
rnacentral:rRNA from 12 species